AUGUUCUAUCUGUCUGUCUCUAUCCAACUUCCGCUGUUUCUGUCUGACUGUCUCUAUCCCACUGUCGCAGGUUCCAUCUGUCUGUCUCUAUACCACUGUCGCUGGUUCUGUCUGUCUUCAUACCACUGUCUCUGGUUCUGUCUGUCCCCAUACCACUGUCGCUGGUUCUGUCUGUCUUCAUACCACUGUCGCUGUUUCAAUCUCUCUGUCUCUAUAACACUGUUGCUCCUUCUAUCUGUCCUUGUCUAUCCCACUGUCGCUGGUUCUGUCUGUCUCUAUCCCACUGUCACUGGUUCUAUCUCUCUGUCUCUAUCCCACUGUCACAUGUUCCAUCUGUCUGUCUCAUCCCACUGUCGCUGGUUCUAUCUGUCUGUCUCUAUCCCACUGUCACUUGUUUUUUCUGUCUGUCCCUAUCCCACUUUCACUCGUUCUAUCUGUCUGUCUCUAUCCAACUGUCGCUUCUUAUAUCUGUCUGUCUCUUUUCCACUGUCGCUGGUUCAAUCUGUCUGUCUCUAUCCCACUGUUGCUCCUUCUCUCUGUCUCUCUCUACCCCACUCACUCUUUCUGUCUGUCUGUCUGUCUCUGUCCCACUGUCGCUGGUUCUAUAUGUCAGUCUCUAUCCCACUGUCGCUGGUUCUAUCUGUCUGUCAAUGUACCACUGUCGCUGAUUCUGUCUGUCUCUAUCCCACUGUCACUGGUUCCAUCCGUCUGUCUCUAUCCCACUGUCGCUGGUUCUGUGUCUUUCACACUUUCUCUCUGUUUUUGUGUCCUGUGAUUAUGCUUUCCAUCCACUCCUCUCUCUUCCCCUUCUCUCUCUCUUCCCUUCUCUCUCUCUCUUCCCCUUCUCUCUCUCUCUUCCCUUCUCUCAUCCCUUCUCUCUCUCUCGUCCCUUCUCUCUCUCUCUCUUCCCUUCUCUCUCUCUCGUCCCUUCUCUCUCUCUCUCUUCCCCUUCUCUCUUUUCCUCUUCUUUCUCUGUUCCCCUUCUCUACCUCUCUCUCUCCCCCUUCUCUCUCUUCUCAUUCUCUCUAUCUCUCUUGCUCUACCUCUUCUCUCUCACUCUGUCCCUCCCUGUCACAUGUGUAUAUUUGUGUCUCUGUGUAUCUACAGACAGAGUUGUGUAUAAUGUGCAGGCAUGUGUGCAUGCAGUUUGUGUGUGUGAGAUUGCAUAUGUUCUGGUUGGGUGCAUGUCAAGCCAUGUUAUCACCAGCUGCACACCGUGGAAAUGCUUUUGGCAGUGCCUGCACCCGUGGGCAGCAACGGGGUCAUUUGUGAUGUGUCUGCACCUGUGUGUUGGUGUGUGCAUGACUGCCUUCAUGUGUGUGUUCUAAUUGACUGCCUGUUUUACCAUCCGAUUAAAAUGUCAUCAUGUCAUACAAAACGUAGGUGCUAGAAAUACUGUCUGUGCUCAUGGGUCUGUCAAUGUUCCUCCGUGUGUGUGCGUGUUUGUGUGUGCACGCCCCUGCACGCCUGUGUGCAUGCAAUUAUCAAGGACCUGACUGGUGACCGCAACGACGACCAUGGAUCUGUGUCACCGUGUGUGUGUGAUUUGGGUGGAAAAGAGAAUGACUAAAUGUGUGUAGCGACGGCAGAUUGCCAGCAGUUGAAACACAACAAGAAGUGUUCGUGAGUGUGGCUGUAUCCCUGGGCUAUGUCUCUGUCAUCGGUAAUUACGCUGAUGGUCGUUGUGUGUGUGUGUGCACCAGUGUCCACAUGCUGCUGCAGGUGAGAGAAAUGCAUUAUGGUUCACUCUGUGCCGCCGCCACCCAAGGUCCCGUAAGUACUGCCAAACUGUCGCCCCCUGUGCCCCUUGCUGUCAUACUGUCAAAUGUCCAUUUGUAGGGGAUGAUUGAGGCUUUAUUUGACAGCAUGCAAACCCUGCUGUACACCCCCUUCCCUCCACUCCCUGUCUCUGAUCAGUCAUUAUCACGCAAUGACAAAAAUAGAAUAGCAAAUGAAUUAAAUUAAUAAAUACAAGCUUGAUCUGCUUUCACACCAGUCGUCUGUUUUGUCGGCCCUAAUCCAGAAACAUGGAUGCUAUUAAUCAGCUGAUUCUGAGUUGGAGAGGAGAAUGAGGGGAGAGGAAAUGAGAUGAUGAGGGGAGAGCUGGAUGAAGCAAUGGGUGGGAAUUUAGGUUGUGACCCUGGAACACUCAGGCUGAUCUGUGGGGGCUUGUGUAUGAGGCAGGGAGGCAUGGGGAGGCAAGCAGGGGGGCCUGUAUAGAGAGAGAGUGAGGAGAUACAUCAACCUGCAGGCUUAAUUUGCCCUCUGAGGGUUCUAGCAGCAAUGUGAAGAGAGAGAGAUGGAAGAUGGAUGGGUGGGGGGGUUAGAGAGGGAGAGAGAUGGAAGAUGGAUGGGUGGGGGGGUUAGAGAGGGAGCGAGAUGGAGGCUAAUAGAGAUGGAGAGAGAAGUGGUAGAGAGAAAGGGAAAGAGAGUGGGGGGGAGAUGAAUGGAAGGGCAGAGAGGGGGAGAGAGACGUAUGAGAGAUGAAUGGGGGGGAGAUAGGGAGAGAUGAGUGGGUGGAGGAAGGAGAAGAGAGAGAUGGAGAGAGGGGGAGAGAGAGAUGGAGGAGAGGAGAGAGGGGGAGAGAGAGAUGGAGGAGAGUGAAAGAUGAACGGGGAAUAUUAGAUGGAGAGGGUGAGGGAAUAAAAACAAGAAAGAAGGAGGGAGGAGAGUGACAGAUGAGCCAAACCCUGGAGGAUAGAGAGAUCAUUUUGUCUGGGUAUCCUAAGCAGCCGAGAAGGUCAGCAAAGUAAAAAAACAGAUGCCCUGUCAAGUGAGACAUAACUAAACAGCCAAAGUUCAUUCACAAUUACAGCACAUAAUUACCCAAUCAUUGCACUGAUGCAAUUCCAAUUGAGAUGUCCUUCUGCAGUUUUUACUCGUGUCUCUGAUAGUUCAAAAGGCUGCUUAUGACCAGCGCCAGAGUGCGAUGGCACUCUCUCAAGCCAUGCAGAAAUUAUUCAAGUUAAUUUAUGAAUGCAGCGUAUGGCUUCCACCCAUUUGCUGUUAUGUAAUGGAACUUCAAUGCCUGAUGUGUAAGCUAUCGUUACAGUUCUGUUACAGUAGAUUGAGGAAGAUAAUUAUAAUUAAAUAGCAUUACAGCAAGGGUACUUGGUGCAGUUGGAUUUGUGGGCUGAUACACUACAGAACUAUUUUAUUUCCAUGAGGCAAUUGUUCUGUGUUUCUUAAUCACAAGAUCUAAGAAGAACAUUAUUUGAGUAAUUUUCCUUCUGUAGCUUCACAAUCCCCAAUUACCUUUGAAAUCAAUAGCGGUCUUCUUUCUCACGUUUCAGAGGUGCAUCAUUCUUUCAAAGCCUGUCUAUACUACAGCUUUACAAUGGUGUGGUAAGACCAAAUCCAGCAAAAACAAAAUGAACACAACAACAUAGCCUACAUCCUGUAUAAAGAUCCAUUCACAAUGAGAUGUACCGCAGGGAGGCAGGCCAGCUAGCAAAGAAAUGCGUAGGCUGUCAUACACCACUGCUGAAUGCAGACAACUCCACAAAUUAAACUCUUGGGAGACCCAGAGAGAGGCCUAGAGACACACAGCAGCAUCUCAUACGGAAUAUACAGAGGAGAGAGUGGGAGGAUCAUUGCUUUUCUUUCUUUCUUUUCGACUGUGUCUUUUCUAACACCACAGGCUAGAAUCAUUUCAUCUUUAACACGCAAAGAACCACCAGCCGGUUUACACCUUGGAUGACAUAAACAGGAACUCUUAUGGAGGAGAUCACAGAGAGAUUCCUAGGACAAAUAGAUCACAUGGGACUUCCUGUGUGAUUUACAGCAGUCAGCCACCGCUAGCAGGCUCACGGGGCAUCGUUGAGUCGUUCAUCACCAAGCUAUCAGAGAGG
rnacentral:lncRNA from 13 species